GGCCGGUUGGCCCAAUGGCAAGGCGUCUGACUACGAUUGCUCGUGAUAUCAGGAGAUUCUGGGUUCGACCCCCAGGCUGGUCA
rfam:Colletotrichum chlorophyti strain NTL11 CCHL11_scaffold101, whole genome shotgun sequence.